rnacentral:lncRNA from 1 species
AUUCACAUAUGGUUGAAUUGGCAUCUCCAACUCCAACCUAUUACCAUCAUUAAGUUUCCCAUCAAGUUUAAUUAAGUGUGUCAUCUGUCAAGAUCAUCCAACAACUGUAAUGGCCUAGCUGCUCAAAAUUGUCCAUAACCGGGAAAACGGAUAAUCAUGAUUAGUUUAUACACUCUGCAGAGGUUAGUACGCUGUACCCACUGGACCCAACCCAAAGAUUGAGACGAAGUCUUUCAGAAGCAGUCACCUAGUCCCACAGGAGG